GGGCUCAUAGUAAAGUGGUAUUACGCGGCAUUCGCAUUGCCGAGGCGGGAGUCCGAUUCUCCCUGAGUCCACAA
rnacentral:tRNA from 4 species